rnacentral:rRNA from 1 species
UGAGCAAUCUGCCCUUCUCUUUGGAAUAAGCGUUGGAAACGACGUCUAAUGCCGAAUACGACCUCCUUUCGCAUGAUCGGAGGUGGAAAGCUCCGGCGGAGAAGGAUGAGCUCGCGGCCUAUCAGCUAGUUGGUGUGGGUAAUGGCCCACCAAGGCGACGACGGGUAGCCGGCCUGAGAGGGUGACCGGCCACACGUGGGACUGAGACACGGCCCAGACCUCCCGUACGGGGAGGNAGCG